rnacentral:rRNA from 1 species
UACCAGCACCCCGAGUGGUCGGGACGAUUAUUGGGCCUAAAGCAUCCGUAGCCGGUCCUACAAGUCUUCCGUUAAAUCCACCUGCUUAACAGAUGGGCUGCGGAAGAUACUAUAGGGCUAGGAGGCGGGAGAGGCAAGCGGUACUCAGUGGGUAGGGGUAAAAUCCUCUGAUCCAUUGAAGACCACCAGUGGCGAAGGCGGCUUGCCAGAACGCGCUUGACGGUGAGGGAUGAAAGCUGGGGGAGCAAACCGG